GAGACAACUUGCCGCAGCGAGCGCAGCCAUAGCGCAUCAGACAGUAGGCAAUUGAAUCUUAUAUAUAUUCUGUUUCAUCCAUUUUUGGGGAAUAAAUAGCUUAAUGGCCAGAUGCCAGUAAAUAUUCCACCCCCUUUUAUAUGAUUAUAUCCCUCAUAUGUGUCUUUUGACCCGUUGGAUCCUUUCGGGAACAUAACAAUCAAAUGGGAUGUCAUAUCUUGGACACCAGAUGGUUAUGUGGUGAGCUUCCUGUA